UUUUUCUUCGUCUAACGGUUAGGACAGAGUUUUUUCAUUACUCAAAUAAAGGUUCAAAUCCUUUAGAAAAUA
rnacentral:tRNA from 1 species